UACGGAGGGUGCAAGCGUUAUCCGGAUUCACUGGGUUUAAAGGGUGCGUAGGAGGGCAGGUAAGUCAGUGGUGAAAUCCCCGAGCUUAACUUGGGAACUGCCGUUGAUACUAUCUGUCUUGAAUACCGUGGAGAUGAGCGGAAUAUGUCAUGUAGCGGUGAAAUGCUUAGAUAUGACAUAGAACACCAAUUGCGAAGGCAGCUGGCUACACGAAUAUUGACACUGAUGCACGAAAGCGUGGGGAUCAAACAGG
rnacentral:rRNA from 1 species